ACAAAUUUCAUCCAAACAUUUGUCCACCCCUCCUUGGUAUUAUUGUGGGUGUGAGAUCCUGUAGAUUUCUUUUGAGCUGCUUCAAUAGGUGUUCCAGUAGCAUUGUUCUUCCGCCUGCUGGUGAAAUUAUUUGUCUUUCUAUCCCUAUUUCUCUGUCCUACUGGUUAUUCAUAACUAGUAGAUGGAAUAUUUUUUCAAUUUCUUUGCAAGUUUGGGUUCAACAUACAACAUCUUUUGUCAGAGUGUCCCUGGACUUGACAGUGGAAACAAUAAGAUGGCAUUGCUUCAUAUUCCACUUUUUGAUCAAAUUUUCCAACUUCCCAUAUUGAUUUUUCUAAUCUCUACCUGUAUCUCAUGGAGAAGUAUUUUAGGAAGGUCACUCUCUACUCUUAAUUUAGCAGUAGUGGGUCUAGUUUUGGUAAUUGUUGCCUUAUCCAUGUCAAGGGGGUGCCAAUAGGACUAACAAUUCUACAAAGAGCAUCCCAUAAUAGUGCCAAGGUAAUUCAGGCGAAUUAAUCCAAACUGAUGCUAAAGAGGGAUUUGUGACGAAGAAGAAGAAGAAGCAGCAGCUGGGGGGGGGGGGGGGGGGCUGUGGUGGGGCUGUGGAGUUGGAAGAAGACGGUUAAUACAGACAGUUGGUCCUUUUGCUGACUCAGCUUCUCAUUAUUUGUCCUUCACAAUAUUUACUGCCAGUCAAUUCAUGUACGUACUGUUUCCAUUUAACCCCAUGUUUUUUUUUCCCUUUUGAUUUUGACUGGAUAUAAUAACUGCUACUUCUGGAAUUUUAAAUUCCAUUUUGAAAAUUGAACGGUGUGGGUUGAAUUGACACAGAGCCCGUUUGGCAGCUUAUAA